CUUAGUUGACAAACACCUUACGUGACAAACACCCCCAUACCACUCUUAGUUGACAUAUUUAACAAUUUUUUUUUUUUGCCUAAUCCAUGUCAUACCACAAAAAAAAAAAAAAACUUCUUUCCUCUGUGCAUUCAAUCCAGUUUCUUUCUCUCUCCCCCGUUCCAGUUUUUCCCCGACCUUCGCCGGCGAGAAGAAUUUCGCCUUCAAUCACUUUACCUUCUUCAAUCAAUUCAGUAGGGUGAGAAAGGGGUUAUUGAUGCUCUAUCUCUUUUUGUCUCACGUCUCGUUCGCUCUCGUCGGCCUUCAAACUCUUUGUUCUUCUCCAAUUCUCCGUUUUCGAUUCUUAACGAGGAUGUAUCUGAUGCAAUUCAGAAGGUUGCUAUUGCCCAUGCAAUUCAGUGAAAUAAGCUAAAAAUUUCCGAUCAUGUUAUUUUCUACUAGGUGAUCGAGAGUAGGUUCCUGUUGACUGCUGUCGUGAGUGGUU